GUCUAGUGUGUGUGUGUGUAUGUAUCUAUAUAUAUUUUUUUUUAUAUAUAUAUAUAUAUAUAUAUAUAAAAAUAUAUAUAGAUACAUACACACACACGCGGUGUGUGU